GAUGAACGCUAGCGGCAGGCUUAAUACAUGCAAGUCGUGGGGCAGCGCAGGUAGCAAUACUGGGCGGCGACCGGCAAACGGGUGCGGAGCACGUACACAACCUUCCGAGAAGUGGGGAAUAGCCCAGAGAAAUUUGGAUUAAUACCCCGUAACAUAACGAUGUGGCAUCACAUUGUUAUUAUAGCUUCGCAGCUUCUUGAUGGGUGUGCGGCUGAUUAGAUAGUUGGCGGGGUAACGGCCCACCAAGUCUACGAUCAGUAGCUGAUGUGAGAGCAUGAUCAGCCACACGGGCACUGAGACACGGGCCCGACUCCUACGGGAGGCAGCAGUAAGGAAUAUUGGUCAAUGGACGCAAGUCUGAACCAGCCAUGCCGCGUGAAGGAUUAAGGUCCUCUGGAUUGUAAACUUCUUUUAUCUGGGACGAAAAAAGGCGAUUCUUCGUCACUUGACGGUACCAGAUGAAUAAGCACCGGCUAACUCCGUGCCAGCCGCCGCCGUAACAC
rnacentral:rRNA from 1 species